rnacentral:rRNA from 1 species
UACGGAGGGUGCGAACGUUAAUCGGAAUCACUGGGCGUAAAGCGCGCGUAGGCGGUUUGUUAAGUGGGAUGUGAAAUCCCCGGGCUUAACCUGGGAAUUGCAUUUCAAACUGGCCGACUAGAGUACGGUAGAGGGAGGUAGAAUUUCCUGUGUAGCGGUGAAAUGCGUAGAUAUCGUAAGGAAGACCAGUGGCGAAGGCGGGUCUCUGGACAGUUCCUGACGCUGAGGCACGAAGGUCAGGGGAGCAAACGGG